AGUGGUACGCGAGCUGGGUUCAGAACGUCGCGAGACAGUUCGGUCCUUAUCCACUGUGGGCGCAGGAGAUUUGAGGGGUUCAAUCCUUAGUACGAGAGGACCGGGAUUGACAAACCUCUGGUGAUCCAGUUGUUCCGUCAGGAGCAUCGCUGGGCAGCUAUGUUUGGAAAGGAUAAGCGCUGAAAGCAUCUAAGCGCCAAGCCUCUCCCGAGAUGAGAUCUCCCUGAAGAGUCGUGGAAGACCACCACGUUGAUAGGUCGCGGGUAUAAGCGCAGUAAUGCGUUCAGCUUAGCGAUACUAAUACUCGUUCGGCUUUUUUCUCCAUCUU
rnacentral:rRNA from 1 species